rnacentral:lncRNA from 1 species
CUCUCCAUUGGACCACGUUGCAUCCUUCAGCAUGCCCUUGUAGGACCCAAUUUGUCCCAUUUCUUACUUGUUCCCAGAGCUUAACCUCAAAAAUUAACACAUUACCCCACCACUGGACUCAGACUUGGAAGAUUUCAACCCAGAAGUUCUACACACUCUUCCCCAAACCCCCAGAUCAGAGGGAUUCCAUGGAUGGUGGUUUGGGACUUUCCUCUCCCCACUUCAUGGAAUCCUCUGUGCCAUCUGACCAAACUGAACUGCCACAUUCCCCUUCCCAGUCGCACAGAGCCUGCCCAUGUAGGGGAGCCCCGAAGAGUGAGAUGCCUCAUACCCCAUUCUCUACUCCCCACCUACCCAGAGCAGGAAGUGGUCACCAUUGUUCCCCUCCACAACCCCUAAAGCAGCAGAAGACAGAAGGGGCAGUUCAGAGAAGAGGUGAAUGCUCUGUGUUGGGGCUCAAUGCCCUGGAAUUAAAGCUGAGAUCCCCCCCAGAGCCCAUCCAACAUGACUCUCCUACUGUGCUUGUUGCUGCUUUCCCUCUCUGGUUUUCAGGCAACUCCUCCACCUUCCUUGUUCCAGCCUCAAAUCUCCGUGUUCAACGGACAGGGAAACCCACAGAUCCUGUGCCAGGUGCUGGGCACCCCUGCGGGCGCUCAUGUCCUGUCCUGGUACCAGCAGCUUCCUGGGAAGGGGCCAACCUUUCUGCUGAGUCAGAGGGAGGGGGCUUCCCCAAGCUAUGGUCCUGGGGUGGCCCCCCGUUUCCUGGCUGAGCUGGACCCUGAGGAGAACAGUGCCCGCCUCACUGUGGGCAAUGCCAGCCCUGCAGAUACGGGCAUUUACUACUGUGCUCUGUGGAACGCCGGCCAGUACAUCUUUGGAGAAGGCACUCAGUUCCUCUAUCGGGCUGAGAAGUUGCCUCCAGCCCCCCUCUUUCCUCAGCUGAGCGUGCUCACUUCAGGCCCAGGCUCUCCGGUACUGUGUGUGGCCCAGGGGCACCAUGCUGGCUCUCCGAGGCUCUCCUGGACGCUGGGGGGCCAGCUCCGGAAAGGGGGAGCCGUGGAGAGCCUGCUGGAGGACAUGGAUAACGCGGUGGUCAGCAUCCUGCACCUGCCCAGCAGGGCUCUAGGAGGCACCGUGACCUGCCAGGCCCGCCCCGAGGGCCCGAGCUUGGCCGCCAUGCUGAGGCUGCCUCCUGAGGAGCACGGGUACCUGGACCAGUGGGCCCACGGGGAGGCCUGCAGCGGGGUCCAGGAGGACCAGGAUGCCCUAGCCCGCCUGGAGUGGAUGCUCACCGUGGCCGGCCGCUGCUACCUGGCGCUGCUGGGGGGCGCUCAGCUCUGGGUGCUGCUGCUCCUGCUCAGUUUGCGGGCCAGGAGACGCCCCGGACCGUCCGCUGGGGGGCGAGGGGGCAGCUCAAGUCCCCCACUUCUGUCGGCUUUCCCGUCCCUCCCACCCCUCUGCUCUCCCUUUUGCACUCAAAACAGUUUGUGA